rnacentral:rRNA from 1 species
CCUACGGGCGGCAGCAGUGGGGAAUAUUGGACAAUGGGGGGAACCCUGAUCCAGCCAUGCCGCGUGUGUGAAGAAGGCCCUCGGGUUGUAAAGCACUUUCAGUGAGGAAGAACGCCUGGUGGUUAAUACCCAUCAGGAAAGACAUCACUCACAGAAGAAGCACCGGCUAACUCCGUGCCAGCAGCCGCGGUAAUACGGAGGGUGCGAGCGUUAAUCGGAAUUACUGGGCGUAAAGCGCGCGUAGGUGGCUUGAUAAGCCGGUUGUGAAAGCCCCGGGCUCAACCUGGGAACGGCAUCCGGAACUGUCGAGCUAGAGUGCAGGAGAGGAAGGUAGAAUUCCCGGUGUAGCGGUGAAAUGCGUAGAGAUCGGGAGGAAUACCAGUGGCGAAGGCGGCCUUCUGGACUGACACUGACACUGAGGUGCGAAAGCGUGGGUAGCAAACAGGAUUAGAUACCCCUGUAGUC